GGACCCGCACAAGUAGUGGAGCAUGUGGUUUAAUUCGAAGAUACGCGCAGAACCUUACCAACACUUGACAUGUUCGUCGCGACUCUGAGAGAUCAGAGUUUUCGGUUCGGCCGGACGAAACACAGGUGCUGCAUGGCUGUCGUCAGCUCGUGUCGUGAGAUGUUGGGUUAAGUCCCGCAACGAGCGCAACCCUCACUUUUAGUUGCCAUCAUUAAGUUGGGCACUCUGAAAGAACUGCCAGUGAUAAGCUGGAGGAAGGUGGGGAUGACGUCAAGUCCUCAUGGCCCUUACGUGUUGGGCUACACACGUGCUACAAUGGCGCGUACAGAGGGUUGCAAACCCGCAAGGGGGAGCUAAUCCCACAAAGCGCGUCGUAGUCCGGAUUGUUCUCUGCAACUCGAGAACAUG
rnacentral:rRNA from 1 species